GUUCGCUUCGGCAGGACGUAAACUAAAAUUGGAAUGAUACAGAAAAGAUUAGCAUGGCCUUCAGUGCAAGUAAGACAUCUAAGGCAGAAGAGCAAUAAGGGCUA